AUGGGCGCGCCCUGGCUUGGCUCGUCUCUCAACUGACAACCAAUCCAUUUACUACACAGAACCCUUCACUCUUCAUAUAAUCUCUAUAGAAUUUUAUUUUUUUUUGGGUUUCUUCUUGUUGUUGUUGAAUUUUGGGUUAACGGAAAUGCAUCUAUGGCCGACCGUAAGGAUCCGAGAGUCUUUCAAGAUAUCAUACUUAAGGAAACUGGAAUGGAACCUCAACAGAAUGGACAGCGAGAAGAAACGACGCUCUCAAGACCAACCUCUCUUGCUGGAUAACAAUCAAACAAACGCUCAAGUUUCUGAAACACCCAGAUUGAAAAAUUCUCCUUCUGGGUUUGUUUCUAUUUGUAAAGAGAUACUUAUGGUUGCCUCUUGCUGUUUCUGCUGCUUCUGCUGUGGAGCUGCCAUUGAUCAAGAAGAGUGCUAAAACAGUACUUAGCAGGGCCAAUCCACCAACGUCGAUGAUCUGUACAUACGAUAGGAUUGUUAAAUCAGUUGUUAAGGUCAAAGGUAAAAAAUGAGUACCAUUGACCAUAGUCUAAGUUGUUUUUCUAUUACCGGAGUGGUGUGUUUAACUUGGACUGAAAUGUUUUGUUGUUCACUGUAUACAGGAAAUCGGUUUAUGUUUCUCUAUUUGAUACACAUGAUGGUUAUUGUCUCAGUUAGUAUACUUGAAAUUGAGCAUAAAUUACUAUUUCAUCCAUGAGGAUUAGCCUAAUAAACACAUGGGUGUC